UUUCAGCCUCGAGUGAAGCGAAAGUCUUUUUUGAGGCUUUUUCUUCCUCAAAAAGGUUGCAAGGUAAAACUAGACCCUUG
rnacentral:sRNA from 1 species